rnacentral:lncRNA from 1 species
AAAAAAUAAAAAAAUAAAAAAAAUUAAACAGGACAACAAAUAGGGCAAAAAGUUGCCCCGACUCUGCCCUGUUUAAGGUGGGGCGGGAUUUUGGCCAAACGGGAUGGGGUGGGGGGGGGUGCCCCGCUCUGAAUCCGCCCUCGUUGCCAUCACUAAUCCAUAUGAUUAACCAAUUUGACACUUAUGGCAUUAUCACAUAUAGCUUGCAUCGACUUUGCAUAAAGAUGAACCCUUGACCUGGCCUCCUCAUUAGGUGAACCUCGCACGGGUUAAAUGGAAGUGUCGAACCUGAUUAGAUUAGUAGAUUUGGCAAGCAAACUUUGAUACUUCAAGGAGAUUUUACUUGGAAUAAAAGAAUAUAUUGAUUCAUGAAACAUUUAAUCAUUGAAUCACUUCACAGUGAUAUGUUCUAGGUGAAGCUAUUUGCCACGAGCUCUUAGUUUUCGCAUUAUGGCAAUCUUGGUAGUCGGAGCAUGGAUCAACGAAUUUAUUUCAUAAGGAAACAACUGUACUAAUCGCUAAAUAUCUUGUCUAGAAUCAAAUAUCAGGGAUAAUCAUCAAUUAGAAAAUUUUGUUUUUAUAUAAACAUAUUAUUGAAUCACGAAUUGGACCACAGCCAUUAACUAUGCACUCAAAAAAAUAUUCCCACGAUAUCUCUAUCUAAAUUUUAAAGGUAGGAAAAUUUCUAGUUGAGGACUUCCAUCCUACCAUGCUACGUGACAAUUCUAAUAUUCAGAUGAUAGAAUAAAAGAUGAGAAGGUUAAGAGUUUUACUUUUACUCAAUUCCAUCAUCAACGGACUCUUCAAGUAAAAACACGGAAAAUACGCCUUGUUACAUUUUGUUUGAGAUAUUUUGACAUAUUCUUACUAAGAAAGUUACAUUUGGUACGUAUUAAGGUUCGCUUCGUCUACCCAUUACUCAUCCCUCUGCAAACUUGACACCAACUAGCCAUGUUACCUGUACUUCUUUGCUAUGGACAUUGAAUUAAUUAAGAGUAAAUCUCUGUUUAACGCGUGAAUUAUGAUAAAAUAAUGAUAAAUGGAAUCAUGAUCUGAUGCUUGUGCAUGUGUUCCAAGUGUAUAUCUAUGAAGCAACCUGGAACUGUGUGUGUGUACGUACCUUACAAUAUUCGAAACAUGGGAUUCAGGGAAGUUUUUUUCUAGUCCUUGUCUCCCCACUUAAUGUUCUGCAAUCUCAAGGUAUACCAUGCCAUGCACAGAAUGAUAUGUUCAAGUUCCAGCCAUUACUUUUAGGUCUCAAUCUUCAUUUGAGGAUGGAAAAGAUUAAUUUGUAAUUAUUUAUAUGAGGGUUCAUAGAUAUGAUAUACAUUUAAAGAUUCGAUGCAAUAAAGAGAGAGAGAGAUAGAUAUGUAGUUUAUUAACAUUUAGUUCCUUUUUGUCAAUAUCUUAUAUUAUUUCAUUCCUAGAUUAGUUUUGUUUCUUAUUUCUAGCCAAAUAAACGUGUAUUAUAUAUUCUAUUAUGUAUUGAAUCAAAUCAAUAAAAAUUUACUUCAUUCAUAUGAAAUUUAACAUAGUUGACGGUAUGGUCUUUUUCAA